rnacentral:rRNA from 1 species
AGAGUUUGAUCCUGGCUCAGGACGAACGCUGGCGGUGUGCCUCACACAUGCAAGUCGAACGGGGUAGCAAUACCCAGUGGCGGACGGGUGAGUAACACGUGGGAAUCUGCCCUUUAGUGGUGAAUAACUGGUCGAAAGGCUAGCUAAUGUGCCAUACGUCGCAAGAUGAAAGCAGUAAUGCGCUAGAGGAUGAGCCCGCG